rnacentral:tRNA from 1 species
GCACCCAUAGUUUAAUGGAUAGAAUGAAGGAUUCCGGUUCCUUUGGUUGGGGUUCGAUUCCCCAUGGGUGUA